rnacentral:rRNA from 1 species
AUGGCGCGGAACGUAAAUACAUCGGAACCCCGUGCCCCAAGGCCGCGGCUCGGCAACAAAGGCCGCGCCUUUAAAAUCCCACCGGUCGCUUCGCCGGAAAUCCUCGUCCUUCCUUUCCCUUUCUGCCCGCCCCUUCCCCGUCCGGCGGCGUCCCUCCUCCCCCACCGCGUCGAAAUCCCAAACCCCACCCUCGCCGCCCGCGACCCCUGCCCGCCGGCCACGAUGAUGCACAUGACCUUCUACUGGGGCACGUCCGCCACGAUCCUGUUCGACGGCUGGCGCACGUCCGCGUGGACGGGCUACCUCCUCUCCCUCCUGGCGCUCUUCCUCGCCGCCGCCUUCUACCAGUACCUCGAGGCCUUCCGGAUCCGCGUCAAGCUCCUCGCCGGCGCCAAGGCGGACCCCCUCCCCCCGCCCGCCGGCUCCGACGCGAGGGCCCCGCUGCUAGCGCCGGGCUCCGCCGCCUUCCUGGACGGGCGCUGGCCGGCGCGGGUGGCCACGGCGGCGCUCUUCGGGGUCAACGCGGGCAUAGGGUACCUCCUCAUGCUCGCCGUCAUGUCGUUCAACGGCGGGGUGUUCAUCGCCGUGGUGCUCGGGCUCGCGGCCGGGUACCUCGCGUUCCGCAGCGGCGACGUGGACGGGGACGACCUCGUCGUGGUCGACAACCCCUGCGCCUGCGCCUAG